UUGUUGCAGUUAAAAAGCUCGUAGUUGAUAUUCGGGUAAAGAAGCUUCUUUAUUGAAGUUUUCUGAGCCUAGGUCUGUACUUGUACAGACCAGUUACUUUGAGAAAAUUAGAGCGCUUAAAGCAGUCAUUGAAUACGUUAGCAUGGAAUAACAGAAGGACGACAUUUCUUUUGUGGGAAUAUCGUAAUUGAUUAACAGGGACAGUCGGGGGCAUCAGUAUUCAGGAGCUAGAGGUGAAAUUCUUGGAUUUCCUGAAGACUAACUAAUGCGAAAGCAUUUGCCAAGGAUGUCUUCAUUAAUCAAGAACGAAAGUUAGGGGAUCGAAGACGAUCAGAUACCGUCGUAGUCUUAACAGUAAACUAUGCCGAUAGAGUGGAGGAUGGACUAUCAAAUCUAUUCUCCGCUCAAGCGAAAGCAGUUGGUUCUGGGGGGAGUAUGGUCGCAAGGCUGAAACUUAAAGGAAUUGACGGAAGGGCACCACCAGGAGUGGAGCCUGCGGCUUAAUUUGACUCAACACGGGGAAACUCACCAGGUCCAGACACAAUGAGGAUUGACAGAUUGAGAGCUCUUUCAUGAUUUUGUGGGUGGUGGUGCAUGGCCGUUCUUAGUUGGUGGAGUGAUUUGUCUG
rnacentral:rRNA from 1 species